CAGUGAAAGAGAGAGAAGUCAGUUGGUGACCAGGUAGAUGGACAUUAAACAUUGGGGAUGAAAACUCGAAUUGCUGACAAGUUUUUGGUGUGAGCAUCACAUCUCAACAACUAGUGAAGAAAUAAUUAUCUAGGAUGGCAAUGAAACACACUGAUCCUACAUUUAUAAUAUGGAUAAAAGAAGAAAAAAAAGACAGGAUCAAAAGUGGAUUUUAGUUGUAAACUCAGCCAUGGCAGCAAUACAAUGAAUCCACUGAAUGCAUCCUUCAUUUGACAGUGUGAGUUGUCAGAUUAUAUCCAGAAGUGGGGAUAAGGAUACAAGAGUUAAUUUUUAAGUGACUGACCUUAAGAGUUGUAGUCUAAGAAUGUGAUUAAUUAGAAAGAAUGAGUAUUUCUAUCAGAAUAAUCUGAAUAAUUCUUAGAAUCAUUAUAAUCAAAACCAGUUUCAAUUGUUUAAUGUCCUAGUUUGCCACAAGUUGUCAAAUAAAGUCAUAAUAAGC
rnacentral:lncRNA from 1 species